GAGAUAAAACCGUGAAAAAAAGUCAAGACGAUAAAAAGUUUUCAGCAGGAAAAUGAACAUUUAAUGCAAGCUGAGGCUGAGCGCAGGCCCAGAGGAGAGACGACGGCUGUGUGGUGUCUGUAGCCCUGUGUGAAGCUCAGCUCUCCUCAGACAGCAACAGGAUGAGAAGAUCAAACAAAUAUUCACUCAGACGAGAGAUUCCUUGGAACACCUCCAAAGAAAAUCCUCUGUUUAAACAUAGGCAUUUUUUGUUUUAAAACCUCAACCCUUUUUGGCAUAAAAUCUCAAGAACUGUUUUUGCCGAAGCGCAACAGACUCUGCAUAUGUAUUGAAAAUGCUACAGUUUCAUUACACAGUCGAAAUAAUGCUGUGUUGUUUUAUACAGGCCUAACAAAUUAUACACCUUUGGAAACAUAAUGUCAUUAGCUAAAAUGUUUUUUAGGCGUCACUUCAAUAACAUGCUCGUAGUCAGUUCCUUGAUGAGCUGAAGUUAUACAGAAUUUUCUUACACACAGUUGGGGGUAACAACUAAAUUGCAAAUACUGUUCAGAGAUUGUACUUGGGCUCAUUGUGUUCAAGAGAGCCUAUACAAAAUAU